GUCUUUAUGAUAUUUAUUUAAAGUUUGGCCUGCCCAAUGAUUUAAAAUUUAAUGGCUGCAGUAUUUUAACUGUACGAAGGUAGCAUAAUCAUUUGUUCAAUAAUUAUGGACUAGAAUGAAGGGUUUGAUAAGAAUUUAUCUUUCUUAUUUAUAUAAAUAAGAAAUUAUUUUUUUAGUUAAAAAACUUAAAUUUUUUUAUGGGACGAGAAGACCCUAUAGAGCUUUAUAUAUAUUAAUAUAUUUACAAAUAUAUUAAUAUAUUAAAUUGGGGUGAUUUAAAUUUUUUAUUAACAAUUUUUUUUUAUAUCAUUGGUUUUUGAUUUUUUGAUCCAUUUAUUUUGAUUAUAAGAUUAAGUUACCUUAGGGAUAACAGCGUAAUUUAAUUGGAGAGUUCUUAUCGAUAAUUUAAGUUUGCGA
rnacentral:rRNA from 1 species